rnacentral:rRNA from 1 species
GACGAACGCUGGCGGCGUGCUUAACACAUGCAAGUCGAACGGAAAGGCCCUGCUUUUGUGGGGUGCUCGAGUGGCGAACGGGUGAGUAACACGUGAGUAACCUGCCCUUGACUUUGGGAUAACUUCAGGAAACUGGGGCUAAUACCGGAUAGGAGCUCCUGCUGCAUGGUGGGGGUUGGAAAGUUUCGGCGGUUGGGGAUGGACUCGCGGCUUAUCAGCUUGUUGGUGGGGUAGUGGCUUACCAAGGCUUUGACGGGUAGCCGGCCUGAGAGGGUGACCGGCCACAUUGGGACUGAGAUACGGCCCAGACUCCUACGGGAGGCAGCAGUGGGGAAUAUUGCACAAUGGGCGGAAGCCUGAUGCAGCAACGCCGCGUGCGGGAUGACGGCCUUCGGGUUGUAAACCGCUUUCGCCUGUGACGAAGCGUGAGUGACGGUAAUGGGUAAAGAAGCAGGCUAACUACGUG